rnacentral:rRNA from 1 species
ACUGCCUGAUGGAGGGGGAUAACUACUGGAAACGGUAGCUAAUACCGCAUAACGUCGCAGACCAAAGAGGGGGACCUUCGGGCCUCUUGCCAUCGGAUGUGCCCAGAUGGGAUUAGCUAGUAGGUGGGGUAACGGCUCACCUAGGCGACGAUCCCUAGCUGGUCUGAGAGGAUGACCAGCCACACUGGAACUGAGACACGGUCCAGACUCCUACGGGAGGCAGCAGUGGGGAAUAUUGCACAAUGGGCGCAAGCCUGAUGCAGCCAUGCCGCGUGUAUGAAGAAGGCCUUCGGGUUGUAAAGUACUUUCAGCGGGGAGGAAGGGAGUAAAGUUAAUACCUUUGCUCAUUGACGUUACCCGCAGAAGAAGCACCGGCUAACUCCGUGCCAGCAGCCGCGGUAAUACGGAGGGUGCAAGCGUUAAUCGGAAUUACUGGGCGUAAAGCGCACGCAGGCGGUUUGUUAAGUCAGAUGUGAAAUCCCCGGGCUCAACCUGGGAACUGCAUCUGAUACUGGCAAGCUUGAGUCUCGUAGAGGGGGGUAGAAUUCCAGGUGUAGCGGUGAAAUGCGUAGAGAUCUGGAGGAAUACCGGUGGCGAAGGCGGCCCCCUGGACGAAGACUGACGCUCAGGUGCGAAAG